UACGUAGGGUGCAAGCGUUGUCCGGAAUUAUUGGGCGUAAAGAGCGUGUAGGCGGCCCGAUUAGUCCGCUGUGAAAGUCCAGGGCUCAACCCUGGAAUGCCGGUGGAUACUGUCGGGCUAGAGUCCGGAAGGGGCGAGUGGAAUUCCUGGUGUAGCGGUGAAAUGCGCAGAUAUCAGGAGGAACACCGGUGGCGAAGGCGGCCUGCUGGGCAGUUGCUGACACUGAGGCGCGACAGCGUGGGGAGCAAACAGG
rnacentral:rRNA from 1 species